AUGUGCUCGCCGUUUUCGGCUAAUGCAAGCAUGCUCACGCAAUUUUUUUCCGCCGUGCUCGAAAGCUCGCGCAAAUUUUUCCGCCGUGCUCGCAUGCUCGCGCAGUUUUUCCGCCUAAAACUGCUCGGUCUCGCAUAAAAAAACGGGGUGCUCGCAAGCUCGCAAGUGCUCGCCAAAGACCAUUCGGGGGCCCUAAUAUUCAAAAUCCGUCCUUGACCCGUGCUAGCAGGCUAGCCUAUCUUUCCCUGGCUGCUAUUGGCUGAGCGGCUUGUCGGUUAAUGACGUCACUUUGACAAGGUCGCAUGUGCAAAUAGGAUGAAACAAGAGCGUAUAAAAGCUCUCGGCUAGUAGGACACAAAAGAAAGAGCUGUAUUGAGAGAGAGCAGAAGAUGAACUAGGCGAGACUGUGAAGCCGUCAGAGUCGGGAAAAGGGAUUUGAUUUUGAUCCGACAGCAAGAUCCGAACGCCGGCUUCUUGUGUAUACGGUGCAAUGUAUUGCUCUUGAUUUAUGAACAAAUCCAAUGUCAGACCUGUAAAAUAAAAGUAACACAUCAAUAA